rnacentral:rRNA from 1 species
UUUCCGUAGGUGAACCUGCGGAAGGAUCAUUAAAGAGUUAGGGUCCUCUGGGCCCGACCUCCCAACCCUUUGUUUACCGAACCUCUGUUGCUUCGGCGGACCCGUCUCACGACCGCCGGAGGAUCCGCCUCUCGGGGCGUCCUCUGGCCAGUGACCGCCGAUAGCCAACCCUCAAACUCCUGAAUAAAUCAUGUUAUGUGUCUAAGUCUUAUGAUUCAAAAUCAAUAAAGCAAAACUUUCAACAACGGAUCUCUUGGUUCUGGCAUCGAUGAAGAACGCAGCGAAAUGCGAUAAGUAAUGCGAAUUGCAGAAUUCCAGUGAGUCAUCGAAUCUUUGAACGCACAUUGCGCCCUUUGGUAUUCCGAAGGGCAUACCUGUUCGAGCGUCAUUAUCACCCCUCAAGCCCCGUGCUUGGUGCUGGACGGCCUGGCCGAGGUUUACUCGGCCCCUCCUAAAGACAAUGACGGCGGCCUGUGGUUCCCCCGGUACACUGAGCUUUUAACUGAGCACGUAUCGGACAAGGGCGCCCGGGACACGGUCCUCUCCUUUCACUAGGAAACUUUCAUCAAGGUUGACCUCGGAUCAGGUAGGAAUACGCGCUGAACUUAAGCAUAUCAAUAAGCGGAGGAAA